GACUUGAGCUGCUCGCACAAAGC
rnacentral:miRNA from 1 species